GGGGUUGUGGCUCAGUGGUAGAGCGCUCGCCUCGCAUGCAUGAGGCCCUGAGUUCAAUCCUCAGCACCA
rnacentral:tRNA from 1 species